GGGGUAUUGGUUUUCGGACCAGAGACCGGCGCACGGGUGCGUAACGCGUAUGCAAUCUACCUUUCACAGAGGGAUAGCCCAGAGAAAUUUGGAUUAAUACCUCAUAGUAUGCAGAGUUGGCAUCAACUCUGCAUUAAAGUCACAACGGUGAAAGAUGAGCAUGCGUCCCAUUAGCUAGUUGGUAAGGUAACGGCUUACCAAGGCAACGAUGGGUAGGGGUCCUGAGAGGGAGAUCCCCCACACUGGUACUGAGACACGGACCAGACUCCUACGGGAGGCAGCAGUGAGGAAUAUUGGACAAUGGGCGCAAGCCUGAUCCAGCCAUGCCGCGUGCAGGAUGACGGUCCUAUGGAUUGUAAACUGCUUUUGUACGAGAAGAAACACUCCUUCGUGAAGGAGCUUGACGGUAUCGUAAGAAUAAGGAUCGGCUAACUCCGUGCCAGCAGCCGCGGUAAUACGGAGGAUCCAAGCGUUAUCCGGAAUCAUUGGGUUUAAAGGGUCCGUAGGUGGUUUAGUAAGUCAGUGGUGAAAGCCCAUCGCUCAACGGUGGAACGGCCAUUGAUACUGCUAGACUUGAAUUAUUAGGAAGUAACUAGAAUAUGUAGCGUAGCGGUGAAAUGCUUAGAGAUUACAUGGAAUAC
rnacentral:rRNA from 1 species